rnacentral:rRNA from 1 species
AUGAAGCCUAGCGAAGUAUCUGGGCAUUGGUGCUUGAUUGUUCUGAAUUUGAGGUUCCAUCGUUUUGAGUGUCUUGAUUCACUACGCGGUGAAACCUGGAGUGAUGCAGUUAGAUUCUUAAGGACUAUGACAGAUAACAUGAAGAAGCUUUGGAGGGAGUCUAGCGUAGACAGGGCGAAACCAUUCUCGCUGGCGCAUAUUGAUGGUUUCUCUGGCGAGUUUGUGCGGGUGCCGCAGCAGAAAAACACCCACGAAGACAUUAUUGACAUUAGGAAGACUUUUCUGUAUACCUGUGCAACUAGCGAUGUGUUUGAUGUUGACUUCCGUGGUUUGUUUGGCAUCAAACCCUGUGAGUGGCUGGAUCUUAAUGAGCAUGACUACAGGAUCUUUGGCAGCCAGUUCUCGGAAAGGUCUGGUGUUAUUAAGGGGCGGUUGGGAGCUCUGAAAGGUUCUACGGCUGCUUGUGCAGAGAGCCCCUCUACACCCAAGAAUCCCAUUGUGGAAUUGAUAGACAACGAUGAUGAUGCGUUUGACAAGAUUGCUGGCAUGGGAAGAGUCACCAGGAGCGCUGCUGCUGCCAAGGGUUUAUCCCCACUUGCUGGAAUGGUGGCCCGUAGAGCUGGUGGUGCUAGGAAGGAUCCUGCUUUGGAUUCUGGCAAUGUUAUAAGCACGAAGCGUGCACCCAGAGCUCCUAUAAAGUUUUGCUCCCCUGUGCAGCAGCUUCACCCUCAUAGAUUCCCUCACCUGGACAAGGCUCGCUAG